UUCAUGGAUCUUUUCAUUGUAAGUGCAGCAAAUUUAGAAUUUGCUGUGUUUUUGUGUUUCAGAGUCGAUUCGAUGGGCGAUUUCAAAGUAGAAAUAGAUGUUCAGUCCUACUUGACAAUUGUAGACGGCAAAAGAGUUUACAGAAGGGGCAAAACAUGGGAUUUCAUGGUCGGUCAGGACUUGUCUGUGGCGCGGAUAAAGGAGGUUGUGGAGGAGAAGUUCAAGUGGUCUCCUGAUCAGAGAAUGACCAUUUGGUAAAGAAACUUCCCUUUGAACAUACUUGUGGGAGCAAAAACUGCAGCAAAGGAAUGGCAAAUAGAGAUUGGCUCGCUGAUAAAGGGAAGGCUGCACUUGAGGAGAAUGCCACGGUGAGUGCAAAACAGCUUAAAGAACGCUUGCAAAGGGAGUAUGAUAUUAAGCUUCAAUACACCGAUGUUUGGAAAGGGAGAGCUCGUGCAAAGGAUCAAUUAGAAGGUACAUA